UACAGAGGGUGCAAGCGUUGUUCGGAAUUACUGGGCGUAAAGGGUGCGCAGGCGGUUCUGCAAGUCAGGCGUGAAAGCCCCGGGCUUAACCUGGGAAUGGCGCUUGAAACUACGGGACUGGAGUAUGGCAGAGGGAGGUGGAAUUCCACGUGUAGCGGUGAAAUGCGUAGAGAUGUGGAGGAACACCGAUGGCGAAGGCAGCCUCCUGGGCCAAUACUGACGCUCAUGCACGAAAGCGUGUGGAGCAAACAGG
rnacentral:rRNA from 1 species